GACGAACGCUGGCGGCGUGCUUAACACAUGCAAGUCGAACGGAAAGGCCCUGCUUUUGUGGGGUGCUCGAGUGGCGAACGGGUGAGUAACACGUGAGUAACCUGCCCUUGACUUUGGGAUAACUUCAGGAAACUGGGGCUAAUACCGGAUAGGAGCUCCUGCUGCAUGGUGGGGGUUGGAAAGUUUCGGCGGUUGGGGAUGGACUCGCGGCUUAUCAGCUUGUUGGUGGGGUAGUGGCUUACCAAGGCUUUGACGGGUAGCCGGCCUGAGAGGGUGACCGGCCACAUUGGGACUGAGAUACGGCCCAGACUCCUACAGGAGGCAGCAGUGCGGAAUAUUGCACAAUGGGCGGAAGCCUGAUGCAGCAACGCCGCGUGCGGGAUGACGGCCUUCGGGUUGUAAACCGCUUUCGCCUGUGACGAAGCGUGAGUGACGGUAAUGGGUAAAGAAGCACCGGCUAACUACGUG
rnacentral:rRNA from 1 species